UGAGAUGGAUUCUAUGGAAACUUUGC
rnacentral:piRNA from 1 species